rnacentral:rRNA from 1 species
CAGGAUGAACGCUGGCGGCGUGCUUAACACAUGCAAGUCGAACGGGAAUGCCGCGCUGAUGCGAUUUCGGUCAAAUCAUGUGGCAUUCGAGUGGCGGACGGGUGAGUAACGCGUGGGUAACCUGCCUUACACAGGGGGAUAACACCUGGAAACAGGUGCUAAUACCGCAUAAGCGCACAGGGCCGCAUGGCCCGGUGUGAAAAACUCCGGUGGUGUAAGAUGGACCCGCGUCUGAUUAGCUUGUUGGCGGGGUAGGGGCCCACCAAGGCGACGAUCAGUAGCCGGCCUGAGAGGGUGGACGGCCACAUUGGGACUGAGACACGGCCCAAACUCCUACGGGAGGCAGCAGUGGGGGAUAUUGGACAAUGGGGGAAACCCUGAUCCAGCGACGCCGCGUGAGUGAAGAAGUAUUUCGGUAUGUAAAGCUCUGUCAGCAGGGAAGAAAGAAAUGACGGUACCUGACCAAGAAGCCCCGGCUAACUACGUGCCAGCAGCCGCGGUAAUACGUAGGGGGCAAGCGUUAUCCGGAAUUACUGGGUGUAAAGGGAGCGUAGACGGUGAUGCAAGUCUGGAGUGAAAGGCGGGGGCCCAACCCCCGGACUGCUCUGGAAACUGUGUAACUUGAGUGCAGGAGAGGUAAGCGGAAUUCCUAGUGUAGCGGUGAAAUGCGUAGAUAUUAGGAGGAACACCAGUGGCGAAGGCGGCUUACUGGACUGUAACUGACGUUGAGGCUCGAAAGCGUGGGGAGCAAACAGGAUUAGAUACCCUGGUAGUCCACGCCGUAAA